CCUACGGGUGGCAGCAGUAGGGAAUCUUCCACAAUGGACGAAAGUCUGAUGGAGCAACGCCGUGUGAGUGAAGAAGGGUUUCGGCUCGUAAAGCUCUGUUGGUAGUGAAGAAAGAUAGAGGUAGUAACUGGCCUUUAUUUGACGGUAAUUACUUAGAAAGUCACGGCUAACUACGUGCCAGCAGCCGCGGUAAUACGUAGGUGGCAAGCGUUGUCUGGAUUUAUUGGGCGUAAAGCGAGUGCAGGCGGUUCAAUAAGUAUGAUGUGAAAGCCUUCGGCUCAACCGGAGAAUUGCAUCAGAAACUGUUGAACUUGAGUGCAGAAGAGGAGAGUGGAACUCCAUGUGUAGCGGUGGAAUGCGUAGAUAUAUGGAAGAACACCGAUGGCGAAGGCAGCCCCCUGGGACGCAACUGACGCUCAUACACGAAAGCGUGGGGAGCAAACAGGAUUAGAUACCCCGGUAGUC
rnacentral:rRNA from 1 species